UACGUAGGAGGCAAGCGUUGUCCGGAAUUACUGGGUGUAAAGCGCGUGUAGGCGGCAGGCCAAGUCUGUGGUGAAAUCGCUCGGCUCAACUGGGCGGGGUCCAUGGAAACUGGUCAGCUGGAGGACGGUAGAGGUGAGUGGAAUUCCCGGUGUAGAGGUGAAAUUCGUAGAUAUCGGGAGGAACACCGGUGGCGAAGGCGGCGACCUGGGUAGAUACUGACGCUGAGGCGCGAAAGCGUGGGGAGCAAACAGG
rnacentral:rRNA from 1 species